rnacentral:rRNA from 1 species
CAGCCGCCGCGGUAAGACAGAGGAUGCAAGCGUUAUCCGGAAUGAUUGGGCGUAAAGCGUCUGUAGGUGGCUUUUCAAGUCCGCCGUCAAAUCCCAGGGCUCAACCCUGGACAGGCGGUGGAAACUACCAAGCUGGAGUACGGUAGGGGCAGAGGGACUUUCCGGUGGAGCGGUGAAAUGCGUUGAGAUCGGAGAGGACACCAACGGCGAAAGCACUCUGCUUGGCCGACACUGACACUGAGAGACGAAAGCUAGGGGAGCAAAUGGGAUUAGAUACCCCCGUAGUCCCUGUCUCUUAUAA